GUGUUCACACAUGGCCCAGGUCAUGGGAUGAUGGAGCUGCCCUGGAACCCCUGUGUGCUCAGGACACGCUCUGCCUUCGCUGGCCUCUGCAUCUUGAUAGCAUCAUUCCUUGCUUGUACCCCACGGUACCCCAAAGGGGACAGAGCUCACCCCGGGGAUGUCUCAUGAUGGGGACCAGCUCUGUCCCACUGUGAUCUCGCUGUCCCAAGAUGGGGACCAGCUCUUUCCCGCUGCAGCCUCAACGUCCCACAACAGGGACCAGCUCUGUCCCACUGUGGCCUCAACGUCCCAUAACAGAGACCAGCUCUGUCCACUGUGGCCUCAAUGUCACACGAUGGGGACCAGCUUUGUCCCACUGUGGCCUCAAUGUCACCUGACAGGGACCAGCUUUGUCCCACUGUGGCCUCGAUGUCUCCUGAUGGGGACCAGCUCUGUCCCACUGCAGCCUUGAUGUCCCAUGACAGAAACCAGCUCUGAUCCACUGUGAUCUCGGCAUCCCAAGACAGGGAGCAGCUCUGUCCCACUGUGGCCUCAGCACCUGGUGGUGCUGGAAGUUCAGGUGGUGCUAGCCCUGCAGGAAGGGAGGAUGUGUGUCUCUGCAUGCAUCCCUGUUGCAGCCCCAGGCCAUGGGCUUUGCUCUCUGUCCCCUGAGGGGAAGGCUCAGAACUUUAUUUAUGACCAUCUACCAGCCGGCCAUGCAAACAACCAGCGGGGUAAGGCCAGGACUGCGGCCAAAUGCCUGACCCAGCAACUUGGGUUUGGCCACACACGGCACUGCUUGGGGCUGACGAGGAGGGUGACCAAGACCUCGCUGAGCUUAAGAGGAUGACAGCUCCUGGAUGGCAAGUCCUACAGAUCUGUGUCUCCUGAGACUGGUCAUGGAAUGGACUGAGGACCAUCUGCAAACACUGCUUAGUACCGAAUCUCUUCUGCUCGAAGCCUCUGUUAUACGGUUUGUGUGACACUAAAUAAUGGGAAACGUAUGAAGAAUUCCAAACAUUCUGUUUACACGGGGAGGGAGACUCUCUCUGUGGCUUCCAUGCUCUUCAAGCUUCCUGUGUUGGGCUCAAGUUCAUGACCCCUGCCCUACUCACUUGACUGCUGGUCUCCAUCUUUCCAUUUUAUUAUCAUAAUUUUAAUGGGGACUUGGAAGAAGCAGAGAGAAACAGCUGCUCAGCUGUCCACCUUGACCAAGGAACCCAGCACGGCCACAGAACCGACCUGAGGUGCGUAGAAUGAGACCUGCAGGCUCAGCUGUCUUUCCGCAGUGUCCUCCCACAUCCACACCUUCCAUUUCAUCGGCUCCUAAACCUCCUGCUUCUCCAAUCUGGGCCUACCCCCAAGUGAUGUCUUUUGAAAAAUUAAAAACAUAUUGAAC
rnacentral:lncRNA from 1 species